rnacentral:rRNA from 1 species
CCUACGGGUGGCAGCAGUGGGGAAUAUUGGGCAAUGGGCGCAAGCCUGAACCAGCAACGCCGCGUGAAGGAAGAAGGCUUUCGGGUUGUAAAAUUCUUUUCGCAGGGACGAAGCAAGUGACGGUACCUGAGGAAUAAGCCACGGCUAAAUACGUGCAAGCAGCCGCGGUAAUACGUAGGUGGCAGGCGUUAACCGGAUUUACUGGGUGUAAAGGGCGGGUAGGCGGGACUGCAAGUCAGAUGUGAAAACCAUGGGCUCAACCCGUGUCCUGCAUUUGAAACUGUAGUUCUUGAGUACUGGAGAGGCAGACGGAAUUCCUGGUGUAGCGGUGAAAUGCGUAGAUAUUAGGAGGAACACCAGUGGCGAAGGCGGUCUGCUGGACAGCAACUGACGCUGAGGCGCGAAAGCGUGGGGAGCAAACAGGAUUAGAUACCCUUGUAGUC